AUGGGGACGGCUGUGAGCGGAGGGGGUGAUCCAGCGGACGGGAGGCAGAGCGGAGAACUCAGGAAGGCAAUUGAAGGGGCGACUAGCAGGGGCCCAUCGGUGGGGGGAGAAGGAGGUAGCGGGAGUAGGGGUGGAGAAGAGGUUGAGGAGGAAGAUGAAGAGUGGGAUUAUUACGGCCCGGAACCGGAUCUGGAGGAUAAAUUUGCAGGUAUGAAGCUGCAUGGAGAGGAGGAGGAUGAUCUUGACCUGUCAGGGGAGGUAGAGGAAUUGAUCAAGGGGGUGAGGUGGCUAGGAUUGUUUCGUGUCCAUACCACUAAGCCUUUCAGCCACGCGGCGCUUUUGAGACAGAUGCGGAACGCCUGGGCGGCUGCGCAGGGCGUGACUUUUAAUGUUAAAGGACCAAAUCUCUUCUUGUUCCAGUGCCAUUGUCUCGGCGAUUGGAAGCGGAUUAUGGACGGGGGGCCAUGGAUCUUCCGUUAUGCUCCGGUAAUAGUACAGGAAUAUGAUGGUUUUACUGAUGUGGCAGAAUACAAACUUAAUAAAGUUCCUGUAUGG
rnacentral:rRNA from 1 species